rnacentral:lncRNA from 1 species
GGGUGCGAUCAUACCAGCACUAAUGCACCGGAUCCCAUCAUAACACUGCAGUUAAGUGUGCUUGGGCGAGAGUAGUACUAGGAUGGGUGACCUCCUGGGAAGUCCUUGUGUUGCACCUCUUUUUGCCAAAAUUUCUUGUUCUUUUUGUUAAUUAGCGUAAUUUUACGUCGUUUUUGAAAAAUAAACUUCGAUUGUAUUUCAUUUUUUCCGUUAAUUUACGCAACCUAAAACACUAUUCGUUAAUUAUCUUAGUUUGACGUCUUUUUUGAAAAAUAAACUUAGAAAUGCAUAUAUACAAUUACAACGCUUUACUCUCAGGUGCGAUCAUACCAGCACUAAUGCACCGGAUCCCAUCAGAACUCCGCAGUCAAGCGUACUUGGGCGAGAGUAGUACUAGGAUGGGUGACCUCCUGGGAAGUCCUUGUGUUGCACCUCUUUUUGCCAAAAUUUCUUGUUCUUUUUGUUAAUUAGCGUAAUUUUACGUCGUUUUUGAAAAAUAAACUUCAAUUGUAUUUCAUUUUUUCCGUUAAUUUACGCAACCUAAAACUCUAUUCGUUAAUUAUCUUAGUUUGACGUCUUUUUUGAAAAAUAAACUUAGAAAUGCAUAUAUACAAUUACAACGCUUUACUCUCAGGUGCGAUCAUACCAGCACUAAUGCACCGGAUCCCAUCAGAACUCCGCAGUUAAGUGUGCUUGGGCGAGAGUAGUACUAGGAUGGGUGACCUCCUGGGAAGUCCUUGUGUUGCACCUCUUUUUGCCAAAAUUUCUUGUUCUUUUUGUUAAUUAGCGUAAUUUUACGUCAUUUUUAAAAAAUAAACUUCGAUUGUAUUUCAUUUUUUCCGUUAAUUUACGCAACCUAAAACUGUAUUCGUUAAUUAGCUUAGUUUAACGUCUUUUUUGAAAAAUAAACUUAGAAAUGCAUAUAUACAAUUACAACGCUUUACUCUCAGGUGCGAUCAUACCAGCACUAAUGCACCGGAUCCCAUCAGAACUCCGCAGUCAAGCGUGAUUGGGCGAGAGUAGUACUAGGAUGGGUGACCUCCUGGGAAGUCCUUGUGUUGCACCUCUUUUUGCCAAAAUUUCUUGUUCUUUUUGUUAAUUAGCGUAAUUUUACGUCAUUUUUAAAAAAUAAACUUCGAUUGUAUUUCAUUUUUUCCGUUAAUUUACGCAACCUAAAACUCUAUUCGUUAAUUAGCGUAGUUUGACGUCUUUUUUGAAAAAUAAACUUAGAAAUGCAUAUAUACAAUUACAACGCUUUACUCUCAGGUGCGAUCAUACCAGCACUAAUGCACCGGAUCCCAUCAGAACUCCGCAGUUAAGCGUGCUUGGGCGAGAGUAGUACUAGGAUGGGUGACCUCCUGGGAAGUCCUUGUGUUGCACCUCUUUUUGCCAAAAUUUCUUGUUCUUUUUGUUAAUUAGCGUAAUUUUACGUCGUUUUUGAAAAAUAAACUUCGAUUGUAUUUCAUUUUUUCCGUUAAUUUACGCAACCUAAAACUCUAUUCGUUAAUUAGCUUAGUUUAACGUCUUUUUUGAAAAAUAAACUUAGAAAUACAUAUUUACAAUUACAACGCUUUACUCUCAGGUGCGAUCAUACCAGCACUAAUGCACCGGAUCCCAUCAGAACUCCGCAGUUAAGCGUGCUUGGGCGAGAGUAGUACUAGGAUGGGUGACCUCCUGGGAAGUCCUUGUGUUGCACCUCUUUUUGCCAAAAUUUCUUGUUCUUUUUGUUAAUUAGCGUAAUUUUACGUCGUUUUUGAAAAAUAAACUUCGAUUGUAUUUCAUUUUUUCCGUUAAUUUACGCAACCUAAAACUCUAUUCGUUAAUUAGCUUAGUUUAACGUCUUUUUUGAAAAAUAAACUUAGAAAUGCAUAUAUACAAUUACAACGCUUUACUCUCAGGUGCGAUCAUACCAGCACUAAUGCACCGGAUCCCAUCAGAACUCCGCAGUUAAGCGUGCUUGGGCGAGAGUAGUACUAGGAUGGGUGACCUCCUGGGAAGUCCUUGUGUUGCACCUCUUUUUGCCAAAAUUUCUUGUUCUUUUUGUUAAUUAGCGUAAUUUUACGUCGUUUUUGAAAAAUAAACUUCAAUUGUAUUUCAUUUUUUCCGUUAAUUUACGCAACCUAAAACUCUAUUCGUUAAUUAGCGUAGUUUGACGUCUUAUUUGAAAAAUAAACUUAGAAAUGCAUAUAUACAAUUACAACGCUUUACUCUCAGGUGCGAUCAUACCAGCACUAAUGCACCGGAUCCCAUCAGAACUCCGCAGUUAAGCGUGCUUGGGCGAGAGUAGUACUAGGAUGGGUGACCUCCUGGGAAGUCCUUGUGUUGCACCUCUUUUUGCCAAAAUUUCUUGUUCUUUUUGUUAAUUAGCGUAAUUUUACGUCGUUUUUGAAAAAUAAACUUCAAUUGUAUUUCAUUUUUUCCGUUAAUUUACGCAACCUAAAACUCUAUUCGUUAAUUAGCUUAGUUUAACGUCUUUUUUUGAAAAAUAAACUUAGAAAUGCAUAUAUACAAUUACAACGCUUUACUCUCAGGUGCGAUCAUACCAGCACUAAUGCACCGGAUCCCAUCAGAACUCCGCAGUUAAGCGUGCUUGGGCGAGAGUAGUACUAGGAUGGGUGACCUCCUGGGAAGUCCUUGUGUUGCACCUCUUUUUGCCAAAAUUUCUUGUUCUUUUUGUUAAUUAGCGUAAUUUUACGUCGUUUUUGAAAAAUAAACUUCGAUUGUAUUUCAUUUUUUCCGUUAAUUUACGCAACCUAAAACUCUAUUCGUUAAUUAGCUUAGUUUAACGUCUUUUUUUGAAAAAUAAACUUAGAAAUGCAUAUAUACAAUUACAACGCUUUACUCUCAGGUGCGAUCAUACCAGCACUAAUGCACCGGAUCCCAUCAGAACUCCGCAGUUAAGCGUGCUUGGGCGAGAGUAGUACUAGGAUGGGUGACCUCCUGGGAAGUCCUUGUGUUGCACCUCUUUUUGCCAAAAUUUCUUGUUCUUUUUGUUAAUUAGCGUGAUUUUACUUCGUUUUUAAAAAAUAAACUUCGAUUGUAUUUCAUUUUUUCCGUUAAUUUACGCAACCUAAAACUCUAUUCGUUAAUUAGCUUAGUUUAACGUCUUUAUUUGAAAAAUAAACUUAGAAAUGCAUAUAUACAAUUACAACGCUUUACUCUCAGGUGCGAUCAUACCAGCACUAAUGCACCGGAUCCCAUCAGAACUCCGCAGUCAAGCGUGCUUGGGCGAGAGUAGUACUAGGAUGGGUGACCUCCUGGGAAGUCCUUGUGUUGCACCUCUUUUUGCCAAAAUUUCUUGUUCUUUUUGUUAAUUAGCGUAAUUUUACGUCGUUUUUGAAAAAUAAACUUCAAUUGUAUUUCAUUUUUUCCGUUAAUUUACGCAACCUAAAACUCUAUUCGUUAAUUAGCGUAGUUUGACGUCUUUUUUGAAAAAUAAACUUAGAAAUGCAUAUAUACAAUUACAACGCUUUACUCUCAGGUGCGAUCAUACCAGCACUAAUGCACCGGAUCCCAUCAGAACUCCGCAGUUAAGCGUGCUUGGGCGAGAGUAGUACUAGGAUGGGUGACCUCCUGGGAAGUCCUUGUGUUGCACCUCUUUUUGCCAAAAUUUCUUGUUCUUUUUGUUAAUUAGCGUAAUUUUACGUCGUUUUUGAAAAAUAAACUUCAAUUGUAUUUCAUUUUUUCCGUUAAUUUACGCAACCUAAAACUCUAUUCGUUAAUUAGCGUAGUUUGACGUCUUUUUUGAAAAAUAAACUUAGAAAUGCAUAUAUACAAUUACAACGCUUUACUCUCAGGUGCGAUCAUACCAGCACUAAUGCACCGGAUCCCAUCAGAACUCCGCAGUCAAGCGUGCUUGGGCGAGAGUAGUACUAGGAUGGGUGACCUCCUGGGAAGUCCUUGUGUUGCACCUCUUUUUGCCAAAAUUUCUUGCUCUUUUUGUUAAUUAGCGUAAUUUUACGUCGUUUUUGAAAAAUAAACUUCGAUUGUAUUUCAUUUUUUCCGUUAAUUUACGCAACCUAAAACUCUAUUCGUUAAUUAGCGUAGUUUGACGUCUUUUUUGAAAAAUAAACUUAGAAAUGCAUAUAUACAAUUACAACGCUUUACUCUCAGGUGCGAUCAUACCAGCACUAAUGCACCGGAUCCCAUCAGAACUCCGCAGUUAAGCGUGCUUGGGCGAGAGUAGUACUAGGAUGGGUGACCUCCUGGGAAGUCCUUGUGUUGCACCUCUUUUUGCCAAAAUUUCUUGUUCUUUUUGUUAAUUAGCGUAAUUUUACGUCGUUUUUGAAAAAUAAACUUCAAUUGUAUUUCAUUUUUUCCGUUAAUUUACGCAACCUAAAACUCUAUUCGUUAAUUAGCUUAGUUUAACGUCUUUAUUUGAAAAAUAAACUUAGAAAUGCAUAUAUACAAUUACAACGCUUUACUCUCAGGUGCGAUCAUACCAGCACUAAUGCACCGGAUCCCAUCAGAACUCCGCAGUUAAGCGUGCUUGGGCGAGAGUAGUACUAGGAUGGGUGACCUCCUGGGAAGUCCUUGUGUUGCACCUCUUUUUGCCAAAAUUUCUUGUUCUUUUUGUUAAUUAGCGUAAUUUUACGUCGUUUUUGAAAAAUAAACUUCAAUUGUAUUUCAUUUUUUCCGUUAAUUUACGCAACCUAAAACUCUAUUCGUUAAUUAGCGUAGUUUGACGUCUUUUUUGAAAAAUAAACUUAGAAAUGCAUAUAUACAAUUACAACGCUUUACUCUCAGGUGCGAUCAUACCAGCACUAAUGCACCGGAUCCCAUCAGAACUCCGCAGUUAAGCGUGCUUGGGCGAGAGUAGUACUAGGAUGGGUGACCUCCUGGGAAGUCCUUGUGUUGCACCUCUUUUUGCCAAAAUUUCUUGUUCUUUUUGUUAAUUAGCGUAAUUUUACGUCGUUUUUGAAAAAUAAACUUCAAUUGUAUUUCAUUUUUUCCGUUAAUUUACGCAACCUAAAACUCUAUUCGUUAAUUAGCGUAGUUUGACGUCUUUUUUGAAAAAUAAACUUAGAAAUGCAUAUAUACAAUUACAACGCUUUACUCUCAGGUGCGAUCAUACCAGCACUAAUGCACCGGAUCCCAUCAGAACUCCGCAGUUAAGCGUGCUUGGGCGAGAGUAGUACUAGGAUGGGUGACCUCCUGGGAAGUCCUUGUGUUGCACCUCUUUUUGCCAAAAUUUCUUGUUCUUUUUGUUAAUUAGCGUAAUUUUACGUCGUUUUUGAAAAAUAAACUUCAAUUGUAUUUCAUUUUUUCCGUUAAUUUACGCAACCUAAAACUCUAUUCGUUAUUUAGCUUAGUUUAACGUCUUUUUUUGAAAAAUAAACUUAGAAAUGCAUAUAUACAAUUACAACGCUUUACUCUCAGGUGCGAUCAUACCAGCACUAAUGCACCGGAUCCCAUCAGAACUCCGCAGUUAAGCGUGCUUGGGCGAGAGUAGUACUAGGAUGGGUGACCUCCUGGGAAGUCCUUGUGUUGCACCUCUUUUUGCCAAAAUUUCUUGUUCUUUUUGUUAAUUAGCGUAAUUUUACGUCGUUUUUGAAAAAUAAACUUCGAUUGUAUUUCAUUUUUUCCGUUAAUUUACGCAACCUAAAACUCUAUUCGUUAAUUAGCUUAGUUUAACGUCUUUAUUUGAAAAAUAAACUUAGAAAUGCAUAUAUACAAUUACAACGCUUUACUCUCAGGUGCGAUCAUACCAGCACUAAUGCACCGGAUCCCAUCAGAACUCCGCAGUUAAGCGUGCUUGGGCGAGAGUAGUACUAGGAUGGGUGACCUCCUGGGAAGUCCUUGUGUUGCACCUCUUUUUGCCAAAAUUUCUUGUUCUUUUUGUUAAUUAGCGUAAUUUUACGUCGUUUUUGAAAAAUAAACUUCGAUUGUAUUUCAUUUUUUCCGUUAAUUUACGCAACCUAAAACUCUAUUCGUUAAUUAGCUUAGUUUAACGUCUUUAUUUGAAAAAUAAACUUAGAAAUGCAUAUAUACAAUUACAACGCUUUACUCUCAGGUGCGAUCAUACCAGCACUAAUGCACCGGAUCCCAUCAGAACUCCGCAGUUAAGCGUGCUUGGGCGAGAGUAGUACUAGGAUGGGUGACCUCCUGGGAAGUCCUUGUGUUGCACCUCUUUUUGCCAAAAUUUCUUGUUCUUUUUGUUAAUUAGCGUAAUUUUACGUCGUUUUUGAAAAAUAAACUUCAAUUGUAUUUCAUUUUUUCCGUUAAUUUACGCAACCUAAAACUCUAUUCGUUAAUUAGCGUAGUUUGACGUCUUUUUUGAAAAAUAAACUUAGAAAUGCAUAUAUACAAUUACAACGCUUUACUCUCAGGUGCGAUCAUACCAGCACUAAUGCACCGGAUCCCAUCAGAACUCCGCAGUUAAGCGUGCUUGGGCGAGAGUAGUACUAGGAUGGGUGACCUCCUGGGAAGUCCUUGUGUUGCACCUCUUUUUGCCAAAAUUUCUUGUUCUUUUUGUUAAUUAGCGUAAUUUUACGUCGUUUUUAAAAAUAAACUUCGAUUGUAUUUCAUUUUUUCCGUUAAUUUACGCAACCUAAAACUCUAUUCGUUAAUUAGCUUAGUUUAACGUCUUUAUUUGAAAAAUAAACUUAGAAAUGCAUAUAUACAAUUACAACGCUUUACUCUCAGGUGCGAUCAUACCAGCACUAAUGCACCGGAUCCCAUCAGAACUCCGCAGUUAAGCGUGCUUGGGCGAGAGUAGUACUAGGAUGGGUGACCUCCUGGGAAGUCCUUGUGUUGCACCUCUUUUUGCCAAAAUUUCUUGUUCUUUUUGUUAAUUAGCGUAAUUUUACGUCGUUUUUAAAAAUAAACUUCGAUUGUAUUUCAUUUUUUCCGUUAAUUUACGCAACCUAAAACUCUAUUCGUUAAUUAGCGUAGUUUGACGUCUUUUUUGAAAAAUAAACUUAGAAAUGCAUAUAUACAAUUACAACGCUUUACUCUCAGGUGCGAUCAUACCAGCACUAAUGCACCGGAUCCCAUCAGAACUCCGCAGUUAAGCGUGCUUGGGCGAGAGUAGUACUAGGAUGGGUGACCUCCUGGGAAGUCCUUGUGUUGCACCUCUUUUUGCCAAAAUUUCUUGUUCUUUUUGUUAAUUAGCGUAAUUUUACGUCGUUUUUGAAAAAUAAACUUCAAUUGUAUUUCAUUUUUUCCGUUAAUUUACGCAACCUAAAACUCUAUUCGUUAAUUAGCGUAGUUUGACGUCUUUUUUGAAAAAUAAACUUAGAAAUGCAUAUAUACAAUUACAACGCUUUACUCUCAGGUGCGAUCAUACCAGCACUAAUGCACCGGAUCCCAUCAGAACUCCGCAGUUAAGCGUGCUUGGGCGAGAGUAGUACUAGGAUGGGUGACCUCCUGGGAAGUCCUUGUGUUGCACCUCUUUUUGCCAAAAUUUCUUGUUCUUUUUGUUAAUUAGCGUAAUUUUACGUCGUUUUUGAAAAAUAAACUUCAAUUGUAUUUCAUUUUUUCCGUUAAUUUACGCAACCUAAAACUCUAUUCGUUAUUUAGCUUAGUUUAACGUCUUUUUUUGAAAAAUAAACUUAGAAAUGCAUAUAUACAAUUACAACGCUUUACUCUCAGGUGCGAUCAUACCAGCACUAAUGCACCGGAUCCCAUCAGAACUCCGCAGUUAAGCGUGCUUGGGCGAGAGUAGUACUAGGAUGGGUGACCUCCUGGGAAGUCCUUGUGUUGCACCUCUUUUUGCCAAAAUUUCUUGUUCUUUUUGUUAAUUAGCGUAAUUUUACGUCGUUUUUAAAAAUAAACUUCGAUUGUAUUUCAUUUUUUCCGUUAAUUUACGCAACCUAAAACUCUAUUCGUUAAUUAGCUUAGUUUAACGUCUUUAUUUGAAAAAUAAACUUAGAAAUGCAUAUAUACAAUUACAACGCUUUACUCUCAGGUGCGAUCAUACCAGCACUAAUGCACCGGAUCCCAUCAGAACUCUGCAGUCAAGCGUGCUUGGGCGAGAGUAGUACUAGGAUGGGUGACCUCCUGGGAAGUCCUUGUGUUGCACCUCUUUUUGCCAAAAUUUCUUGUUCUUUUUGUUAAUUAGCGUGAUUUUACGUCCUUUUUAAAAAAUAAACUUCGAUUGUAUUUCAUUUUUUCCGUUAAUUUACGCAACCUAAAACUCUAUUCGUUAAUUAGCUUAGUUUAACGUCUUUAUUUGAAAAAUAAACUUAGAAAUGCAUAUAUACAAUUACAACGCUUUACUCUCAGGUGCGAUCAUACCAGCACUAAUGCACCGGAUCCCAUCAGAACUCCGCAGUUAAGCGUGCUUGGGCGAGAGUAGUACUAGGAUGGGUGACCUCCUGGGAAGUCCUUGUGUUGCACCUCUUUUUGCCAAAAUUUCUUGUUCUUUUUGUUAAUUAGCGUAAUUUUACGUCGUUUUUGAAAAAUAAACUUCAAUUGUAUUUCAUUUUUUCCGUUAAUUUACGCAACCUAAAACUCUAUUCGUUAAUUAGCGUAGUUUGACGUCUUUUUUGAAAAAUAAACUUAGAAAUGCAUAUAUACAAUUACAACGCUUUACUCUCAGGUGCGAUCAUACCAGCACUAAUGCACCGGAUCCCAUCAGAACUCCGCAGUUAAGCGUGCUUGGGCGAGAGUAGUACUAGGAUGGGUGACCUCCUGGGAAGUCCUUGUGUUGCACCUCUUUUUGCCAAAAUUUCUUGUUCUUUUUGUUAAUUAGCGUAAUUUUACGUCGUUUUUGAAAAAUAAACUUCAAUUGUAUUUCAUUUUUUCCGUUAAUUUACGCAACCUAAAACUCUAUUCGUUAUUUAGCUUAGUUUAACGUCUUUUUUUGAAAAAUAAACUUAGAAAUGCAUAUAUACAAUUACAACGCUUUACUCUCAGGUGCGAUCAUACCAGCACUAAUGCACCGGAUCCCAUCAGAACUCCGCAGUUAAGCGUGCUUGGGCGAGAGUAGUACUAGGAUGGGUGACCUCCUGGGAAGUCCUUGUGUUGCACCUCUUUUUGCCAAAAUUUCUUGUUCUUUUUGUUAAUUAGCGUAAUUUUACGUCGUUUUUGAAAAAUAAACUUCGAUUGUAUUUCAUUUUUUCCGUUAAUUUACGCAACCUAAAACUCUAUUCGUUAAUUAGCUUAGUUUAACGUCUUUAUUUGAAAAAUAAACUUAGAAAUGCAUAUAUACAAUUACAACGCUUUACUCUCAGGUGCGAUCAUACCAGCACUAAUGCACCGGAUCCCAUCAGAACUCUGCAGUCAAGCGUGCUUGGGCGAGAGUAGUACUAGGAUGGGUGACCUCCUGGGAAGUCCUUGUGUUGCACCUCUUUUUGCCAAAAUUUCUUGUUCUUUUUGUUAAUUAGCGUGAUUUUACGUCAUUUUUAAAAAAUAAACUUCGAUUGUAUUUCAUUUUUUCCGUUAAUUUACGCAACCUAAAACUCUAUUCGUUAAUUAGCUUAGUUUAACGUCUUUAUUUGAAAAAUAAACUUAGAAAUGCAUAUAUACAAUUACAACGCUUUACUCUCAGGUGCGAUCAUACCAGCACUAAUGCACCGGAUCCCAUCAGAACUCCGCAGUUAAGCGUGCUUGGGCGAGAGUAGUACUAGGAUGGGUGACCUCCUGGGAAGUCCUUGUGUUGCACCUCUUUUUGCCAAAAUUUCUUGUUCUUUUUGUUAAUUAGCGUAAUUUUACGUCGUUUUUGAAAAAUAAACUUCGAUUGUAUUUCAUUUCUUCCGUUAAUGUACGCAACCUAAAACUCUAUUCGUUAAUUAGCGUAGUUUGACGUCUUUUUUGAAAAAUAAACUUAGAAAUGCAUAUAUACAAUUACAACGCUUUACUCUCAGGUGCGAUCAUACCAACACUAAUGUACCGGAUCCCAUCAGAACUCCGCAGUUAAGCGUGCUUGGGCGAGAGUAGUACUAGGAUGGGUGACCUCCUGGGAAGUCCUUGUGUUGCACCUCUUUUUGCCAAAAUUUCUUGUUCUUUUUGUUAAUUAGCGUAAUUUUACGUCGUUUUUGAAAAAUAAACUUCAAUUGUAUUUCAUUUUUUCCGUUAAUUUACGCAACCUAAAACUCUAUUCGUUAAUUAGCUUAGUUUAACGUCUUUUUUUGAAAAAUAAACUUAGAAAUGCAUAUAUACAAUUACAACGCUUUACUCUCAGGUGCGAUCAUACCAGCACUAAUGCACCGGAUCCCAUCAGAACUCCGCAGUUAAGCGUGCUUGGGCGAGAGUAGUACUAGGAUGGGUGACCUCCUGGGAAGUCCUUGUGUUGCACCUCUUUUUGCCAAAAUUUCUUGUUCUUUUUGUUAAUUAGCGUAAUUUUACGUCGUUUUUGAAAAAUAAACUUCGAUUGUAUUUCAUUUUUUCCGUUAAUUUACGCAACCUAAAACUCUAUUCGUUAAUUAGCGUAGUUUGACGUCUUUUUUGAAAAAUAAACUUAGAAAUGCAUAUAUACAAUUACAACGCUUUACUCUCAGGUGCGAUCAUACCAGCACUAAUGCACCGGAUCCCAUCAGAACUCCGCAGUUAAGCGUGCUUGGGCGAGAGUAGUACUAGGAUGGGUGACCUCCUGGGAAGUCCUUGUGUUGCACCUCUUUUUGCCAAAAUUUCUUGUUCUUUUUGUUAAUUAGCGUAAUUUUACGUCGUUUUUGAAAAAUAAACUUCGAUUGUAUUUCAUUUUUUCCGUUAAUUUACGCAACCUAAAACUCUAUUCGUUAAUUAGCUUAGUUUAACGUCUUUAUUUGAAAAAUAAACUUAGAAAUGCAUAUAUACAAUUACAACGCUUUACUCUCAGGUGCGAUCAUACCAGCACUAAUGCACCGGAUCCCAUCAGAACUCCGCAGUUAAGCGUGCUUGGGCGAGAGUAGUACUAGGAUGGGUGACCUCCUGGGAAGUCCUUGUGUUGCACCUCUUUUUGCCAAAAUUUCUUGUUCUUUUUGUUAAUUAGCGUAAUUUUACGUCGUUUUUAAAAAUAAACUUCGAUUGUAUUUCAUUUUUUCCGUUAAUUUACGCAACCUAAAACUCUAUUCGUUAAUUAGCUUAGUUUAACGUCUUUAUUUGAAAAAUAAACUUAGAAAUGCAUAUAUACAAUUACAACGCUUUACUCUCAGGUGCGAUCAUACCAGCACUAAUGCACCGGAUCCCAUCAGAACUCCGCAGUCAAGCGUGCUUGGGCGAGAGUAGGACUAGGAUGGGUGACCUCCUGGGAAGUCCUUGUGUUGCACCUCUUUUUGCCAAAAUUUCUUGUUCUUUUUGUUAAUUAGCGUAAUUUUACGUCGUUUUUGAAAAAUAAACUUCGAUUGUAUUUCAUUUCUUCCGUUAAUGUACGCAACCUAAAACUCUAUUCGUUAAUUAGCGUAGUUUGACGUCUUUUUUGAAAAAUAAACUUAGAAAUGCAUAUAUACAAUUACAACGCUUUACUCUCAGGUGCGAUCAUACCAACACUAAUGUACCGGAUCCCAUCAGAACUCCGCAGUUAAGCGUGCUUGGGCGAGAGUAGUACUAGGAUGGGUGACCUCCUGGGAAGUCCUUGUGUUGCACCUCUUUUUGCCAAAAUUUCUUGUUCUUUUUGUUAAUUAGCGUAAUUUUACGUCGUUUUUGAAAAAUAAACUUCGAGUGUAUUUCAUUUUUUCCGUUAAUUUACGCAACCUAAAACUCUAUUCGUUAAUUAGCUUAGUUUAACGUCUUUAUUUGAAAAAUAAACUUAGAAAUGCAUAUAUACAAUUACAACGCUUUACUCUCAGGUGCGAUCAUACCAGCACUAAUGCACCGGAUCCCAUCAGAACUCCGCAGUUAAGCGUGCUUGGGCGAGAGUAGUACUAGGAUGGGUGACCUCCUGGGAAGUCCUUGUGUUGCACCUCUUUUUGCCAAAAUUUCUUGUUCUUUUUGUUAAUUAGCGUAAUUUUACGUCGUUUUUGAAAAAUAAACUUCGAUUGUAUUUCAUUUCUUCCGUUAAUUUACGCAACCUAAAACUCUAUUCGUUAAUUAGCGUAGUUUGACGUCUUUUUUGAAAAAUAAACUUAGAAAUGCAUAUAUACAAUUACAACGCUUUACUCUCAGGUGCGAUCAUACCAACACUAAUGUACCGGAUCCCAUCAGAACUCCGCAGUUAAGCGUGCUUGGGCGAGAGUAGUACUAGGAUGGGUGACCUCCUGGGAAGUCCUUGUGUUGCACCUCUUUUUGCCAAAAUUUCUUGUUCUUUUUGUUAAUUAGCGUAAUUUUACGUCGUUUUUGAAAAAUAAACUUCAAUUGUAUUUCAUUUUUUCCGUUAAUUUACGCAACCUAAAACUCUAUUCGUUAAUUAGCUUAGUUUAACGUCUUUUUUUGAAAAAUAAACUUAGAAAUGCAUAUAUACAAUUACAACGCUUUACUCUCAGGUGCGAUCAUACCAGCACUAAUGCACCGGAUCCCAUCAGAACUCCGCAGUUAAGCGUGCUUGGGCGAGAGUAGUACUAGGAUGGGUGACCUCCUGGGAAGUCCUUGUGUUGCACCUCUUUUUGCCAAAAUUUCUUGUUCUUUUUGUUAAUUAGCGUAAUUUUACGUCGUUUUUGAAAAAUAAACUUCGAUUGUAUUUCAUUUUUUCCGUUAAUUUACGCAACCUAAAACUCUAUUCGUCAAUUAGAUUAGUUUGACGUCUUUUUUUGAAAAAUAAACUUAGAAAUGCAUAUAUACAAUUACAACGCUUUACUCUCAGGUGCGAUCAUACCAGCACUAAUGCACCGGAUCCCAUCAGAACUCCGCAGUUAAGCGUGCUUGGGCGAGAGUAGUACUAGGAUGGGUGACCUCCUGGGAAGUCCUUGUGUUGCACCUCUUUUUGCCAAAAUUUCUUGUUCUUUUUGUUAAUUAGCGUAAUUUUACGUCGUUUUUGAAAAAUAAACUUCAAUUGUAUUUCAUUUUUUCCGUUAAUUUACGCAACCUAAAACUCUAUUCGUUAAUUAGCGUAGUUUGACGUCUUUUUUGAAAAAUAAACUUAGAAAUGCAUAUAUACAAUUACAACGCUUUACUCUCAGGUGCGAUCAUACCAGCACUAAUGCACCGGAUCCCAUCAGAACUCCGCAGUUAAGCGUGCUUGGGCGAGAGUAGUACUAGGAUGGGUGACCUCCUGGGAAGUCCUUGUGUGCACCUCU